rnacentral:pre_miRNA from 1 species
UUUUCCUGCAGAUAUUGUCAGGCCUCAUUCUACCUUCCAAGUCUCAGAGCCUUGGAAGGUAGAAUGAUUGGAAGGUAGAAUGAGGCCUGAUAAUCUCUACAGAAAGGCAA